GACGAACGCUGGCGGCGUGCCUAACACAUGCAAGUCGAACGGGGUUGAGUGCUUCGGUAUUCAACUUAGUGGCGAACGGGUGAGUAACACGUGGGGAACCUGCCCCUAAGUCUGGGAUACCAUUUGGAAACAGGUGCUAAUACCGGAUAAUAAAGCAGAUCGCAUGAUCAGCUUUUGAAAGGCGGCGUAAGCUGUCGCUAAGGGAUGGCCCCGCGGUGCAUUAGCUAGUUGGUAAGGUAACGGCUUACCAAGGCGACGAUGCAUAGCCGAGUUGAGAGACUGAUCGGCCACAUUGGGACUGAGACACGGCCCAAACUCCUACGGGAGGCAGCAGUGGGGAAUCUUCCGCAAUGGGCGAAAGCCUGACGGAGCAACGCCGCGUGAGUGAAGAAGGCCUUCGGGUCGUAAAGCUCUGUUGUCGGGGACGAAUGUAGUUACCAUCAACAACCGUAACUAAUAGACGGUACCUGACGAGGAAGCCACGGCUAACUACGUGCCAGCAGCCGCGGU
rnacentral:rRNA from 1 species